rnacentral:rRNA from 1 species
AUUGAACGCUGGCGGCAUGCCUAACACAUGCAAGUCGAACGGCAGCACAGUAAAGAUUUCGGUCUUUAUGGGUGGCGAGUGGCGGACGGGUGAGUAAUGCGUAGGAAUCUGUCCUGGAGAGUAGGAUAACCCGAGGAAACUCGGGCUAAUACUGCAUGAUAUCGAGAGAUCAAAGGCAGGGGACCCUUCGGGGCCUUGCGCUCUAGGAAGAGCCUACGUCGGAUUAGCUAGUUGGUGGGGUAAAGGCCUACCAAGGCGACGAUCCGUAGCUGGUCUGAGAGGAUGACCAGCCACACUGGGACUGAGACACGGCCCAGACUCCUACGGGAGGCAGCAGUGGGGAAUCUUGGACAAUGGGGGAAACCCUGAUCCAGCGAUGCCGCGUGUGUGAAGAAGGCCUUCGGGUUGUAAAGCACUUUAGUUGGGGAAGAAAAGUAAUGAGUGAAUAACUGAUUGCUCUGACGGUACCCAAAGAAUAAGCACCGGCUAACUCUGUGCCAGCCGCCGCCGUAA